rnacentral:tRNA from 1 species
GGUUGUGUGACGUAGAUGGAUGCGUACCGCCCUCAUAAGGCGAGGAGGUUGGAUCGAUACCAACUACAACCACCA